UACGUAGGGUGCGAGCGUUGUCCGGAAUUAUUGGGCGUAAAGAGCUCGUAGGCGGUGUGUCGCGUCGGCCGUGAAAACCUGCAGCUUAACUGUGGGCUUGCGGUCGAUACGGGCAUCACUUGAGUUCGGCAGGGGAGACUGGAAUUCCCGGUGUAGUGGUGGAAUGCGUAGAUAUCGGGAGGAACACCGAUGGCGAAGGCAGGUCUCUGGGCCACUACUGACGCUGAGAAGCGAAAGCAUGGGGAGCGAACAGG
rnacentral:rRNA from 1 species